rnacentral:rRNA from 1 species
UCGAGGAUAUUUAGCAAUGCCCGAAAGGGUGACUAUGCGACGCCGCGUGUGCGAUGAAGGUCUUCGGAUCGUAAAGCACUGUCAGCAGGGAGGAAUCUCUGGGGCUUUAAUAGAGCCGCAGGGUGACAGUACCUGCAGAGGAAGCCACGGCUAACUCCGUGCCAGCAGCCGCGGUAAUACGGAGGUGGCAGGCGUUACUCGGAUUGAUUGGGUGUAAAGGGUGUGUAGGCGGCGAGUUAAGUUGAAUGUGAAAGCCCGUGGCUCAACCACGGAAUUGCAUUCAAAACUGGCUUGCUUGAGUGACUGAGAGGUAGAUGGAAUUCCCGGUGUAACAGUGAAAUGUGUAGAUAUCGGGAGGAACACCAGUGGCGAAGGCGAUCUACUGGCAGUCCACUGACGC